GAUGAACGCUGGCGGCGUGCCUAAUACAUGCAAGUCGAGCGAACAGACGAGGAGCUUGCUCCUCUGACGUUAGCGGCGGACGGGUGAGUAACACGUGGAUAACCUACCUAUAAGACUGGGAUAACUUCGGGAAACCGGAGCUAAUACCGGAUAAUAUAUUGAACCGCAUGGUUCAAUAGUGAAAGACGGUUUUGCUGUCACUUAUAGAUGGAUCCGCGCCGCAUUAGCUAGUUGGUAAGGUAACGGCUUACCAAGGCAACGAUGCGUAGCCGACCUGAGAGGGGGAUCGGCCACCCUGGAACUGAGACACGGUCCAGACUCCUACGGGAGGCAGCAGGAGGGAAUCUUCCGCAAUGGGCGAAAGCCUGACGGAGCAACGCCGCGUGAGUGAUGAAGGUCUUCGGAUCGUAAAACUCUGUUAUUAGGGAAGAACAAAUGUGUAAGUAACUAUGCACGUCUUGACGGUACCUAAUCAGAAAGCCACGGCUAACUACGUG
rnacentral:rRNA from 1 species